rnacentral:rRNA from 1 species
UACGGAGGGUCCAAGCGUUGUUCGGAAUUACUGGGCGUAAAGCGCACGUAGGCGGGCGUAUAAGUCAGAUGUGAAAGCCCCGGGCUUAACCCGGGAAUUGCAUUUGAAACUGUAUGUCUUGAAUGCUUGAGAGGAUGACGGAAUUCCUGGUGUAGAAGUGAAAUUCGUAGAUAUCAGGAGGAACACCGGAGGCGAAGGCGGUUGUCUGGCGAUGCAUUGACGCUGAGGUGCGAAAGCGUGGGGAGCAAACAGG